UACGAAGGGGGCUAGCGUUGCUCGGAAUUACUGGGCGUAAAGGGCGCGUAGGCGGGUCUUUAAGUCAGGGGUGAAAUGCCAGGGCUCAACCUUGGAACUGCCUUUGAUACUGAGAAGCUUGAGUCCGGGAGAGGUGAGUGGAAUUGCGAGUGUAGAGGUGAAAUUCGUAGAUAUUCGCAAGAACACCAGUGGCGAAGGCGGCUCACUGGCCCGGAACUGACGCUGAGACGCGAAAGCGUGGGGAGCAAACAGG
rnacentral:rRNA from 1 species